AUUGAACGCUGGCGGCAGGCCUAACACAUGCAAGUCGAACGAGUGGCGGACGGGUGAGUACAGUGUGGGAAACAGCCCGAUGGAGGGGGGUAACUACUGGGAACAGUAGCUCAUACACCAUACCAGCGGAUGUCGCCCGAUGGGAUUAGUUAGUAGGUGGGGUAACGGCUAACCUAGGCGACGAUCCCUAGCUGGUCUGAUAGGAUGACCAGCCACACGGGAACUGAGACACGGUCCAGACGCCUACGGGAGGCAGCAGUGGGGAAUAUUGCACAAGGGGCGAAAGCCUGAUGCAGCCAUGCCGCGGGUAUGAAGAAGGCCGUCGGGUUGUAAAGUACUUUCAGCGAGGAGGCGUUACUCGCAGAAGAAGCACCGGCUAACUCCGUGCCAGCAGCCGCGGUAAUAC
rnacentral:rRNA from 1 species